rnacentral:tRNA from 1 species
AGGGAUGUAGCUUAGUUGCUAAAGUGCUUGCCUAGCAACCAUGAAUCUCUGGGUUCGAUCCCCAGCACCGCAU